GCCUAGUUGGCUUAGUCAGUGGAGCAUGUGACUCCUGAUCUCAAGGCCGUGAGUUCAAGCCUCACAUUGAGCA